UACGUAGGGUGCAAGCGUUGUCCGGAAUUAUUGGGCGUAAAGAGCUCGUAGGCGGUCUGUUGCGUCGGCUGUGAAAACCCGGGGCUCAACUCCGGGCCUGCAGCCGAUACGGGCAGACUAGAGUUCGGCAGGGGAGACUGGAAUUCCUGGUGUAGCGGUGAAAUGCGCAGAUAUCAGGAGGAACACCCGGUGGCGGAAGGCGGCCCCUCUGGGCCGGGCCUGACGCGUG
rnacentral:rRNA from 1 species